rnacentral:rRNA from 1 species
AAAUUGAAGAGUUUGAUCAUGGCUCAGAUUGAACGCUGGCGGCAGGCCUAACACAUGCAAGUCGAACGGUAACAGGAAGCAGCUUGCUGCUUCGCUGACGAGUGGCGGACGGGGGAGUAAUGUCUGGGAAACUGCCUGAUGGAGGGGGAUAACUACUGGAAACGGUGGCUAAUACCGCAUAACGUCGCAAGACCAAAGAGGGGGACCUUCGGGCCUCUUGCCAUCAGAUGUGCCCAGAUGGGAUUAGCUAGUUGGUGAGGUAACGGCUCACCAAGGCGACGAUCCCUAGCUGGUCUGAGAGGAUGACCAGCCACACUGGAACUGAGACACGGUCCAGACUCCUACGGGAGGCAGCAGUGGGGAAUAUUGCACAAUGGGCGCAAGCCUGAUGCAGCCAUGCCGCGUGUAUGAAGAAGGCCUUCGGGUUGUAAAGUACUUUCAGCGGGGAGGAAGGUGUUGUGGUUAAUAACCGCAGCAAUUGACGUUACCCGCAGAAGAAGCACCGGCUAACUCCGUGCCAGCAGCCGCGGUAAUACGGAGGGUGCAAGCGUUAAUCGGAAUUACUGGGCGUAAAGCGCACGCAGGCGGUCUGUCAAGUCGGAUGUGAAAUCCCCGGGCUCAACCUGGGAACUGCAUUCGAAACUGGCAGGCUUGAGUCUUGUAGAGGGGGGUAGAAUUCCAGGUGUAGCGGUGAAAUGCGUAGAGAUCUGGAGGAAUACCGGUGGCGAAGGCGGCCCCCUGGACAAAGACUGACGCUCAGGUGCGAAAGCGUGGGGAGCAAACAGGAUUAGAUACCCUGGUAGUCCACGCCGUAAACGAUGUCUACUUGGAGGUUGUGCCCUUGAGGCGUGGCUUCCGGAGCUAACGCGUUAAGUAGACCGCCUGGGGAGUACGGCCGCAAGGUUAAAACUCAAAUGAAUUGACGGGGGCCCGCACAAGCGGUGGAGCAUGUGGUUUAAUUCGAUGCAACGCGAAGAACCUUACCUGGUCUUGACAUCCACAGAACUUUCCAGAGAUGGAUUGGUGCCUUCGGGAACUGUGAGACAGGUGCUGCAUGGCUGUCGUCAGCUCGUGUUGUGAAAUGUUGGGUUAAGUCCCGCAACGAGCGCAACCCUUAUCCUUUGUUGCCAGCGAUUAGGUCGGGAACUCAAAGGAGACUGCCAGUGAUAAACUGGAGGAAGGUGGGGAUGACGUCAAGUCAUCAUGGCCCUUACGACCAGGGCUACACACGUGCUACAAUGGCGCAUACAAAGAGAAGCGACCUCGCGAGAGCAAGCGGACCUCAUAAAGUGCGUCGUAGUCCGGAUUGGAGUCUGCAACUCGACUCCAUGAAGUCGGAAUCGCUAGUAAUCGUGGAUCAGAAUGCCACGGUGAAUACGUUCCCGGGCCUUGUACACACCGCCCGUCACACCAUGGGAGUGGGUUGCAAAAGAAGUAGGUAGCUUAACCUUCGGGAGGGCGCUUACCACUUUGUGAUUCAUGACUGGGGUGAAGUCGUAACAAGGUAACCGUAGGGGAACCUGCGGUUGGAUCACCUCCUUACCUUAAAGAA